ensembl:lncRNA
CCCAGCGCCGCGGAUGGCGCGGGUGUCGCUGCUCGGUGCUUUGGAACACCCUGAAGGAGCGCGAGGUGGCGGCGCUCUAUUCUGCAGCCAGAGCUCCGGCGGUGCCUUUUCCGUACUGUGUGAGUGAGCGAGCAUGACAGGCUGCCCACCGGGGGAGCUCGGGCUCUUGAAACAAAGGUCCACGCGAUUUGAAGGGCAUUAACGACCACCUGGAGACGCGGCGAGGCUACCGCGCGGGUCCCGACGCUGCCGCAUUUGUUCCCCGAGCGUUGCCGCCUUGCAGCCCGCUCCGCGCCGGGAGCUGUGCUGUAGGAGAACACGGUGCCGGCCGGCGCGCAAGCGCUGUACACGGCGUGUGUCUAGGGCUGCGAGCUCUAGGGAGCUUUCACUAAUCAAAACAUGAAGUGUUUUCGAAGAACACCGUUGCCUGAAUGGCCGUCAGCAGGCGGCCCUGCAGCGUAGCGGCUGCCUCGGCCCUCAGCCUUGACGCCGUGAGCUGCCCCUGCUGGAAAGGUCAGCCUCGCAUUUUUGGAAGGUACUCAAUCACUGCUUCAAGCCAUGACUUACCAUUUCCACUACAGUGUAUUUAAGCUGUUGAUGGCUCACAAUAGGGAUAGAAAAGUAGAGUAAGUUUUU